ACCUAGCAAAUAGCUCAGUCAGUAGAGCAUGAGCCUCUUAAUCUCAGGGUUGUGUGCUCAAGCCCCAUGCUGGGUA